GAGACGUUAGCUCAGUUGGUUUAGAGCGCUUGCUUGACAGGCAAGAGGUCGCUUGUUCGAUUCCAGCACGCCUCA
rnacentral:tRNA from 1 species